rnacentral:piRNA from 2 species
UGGGCAGUGGAAGUGAUAAGGUUGGCCAGU